rnacentral:lncRNA from 1 species
AAAAACUAGAUGAAGAAUGGAGACCAAUGUAAAAAAUCCCAUCCCAAUUGGAUCAUCCCUUAAUUAUUUAUGAAUUUUUGAAGUUUGUAAAGAAAAUGAAAUAAAAAAUGAAAAUGCAAGGAAAUGUUAUUGAUUAAUUAUUUAAUAAUUAUUUAAAAAAAUAAAAAAAAAGAAAACGACACAUGUCGCGCAGUGGAGCGCUGUCGUUCCAAAGAGAUGGGAUUUCAAGAUCCCCAGCAGUGGGGCCCACGGC